AACCUAGCACACCUGCGGUGUGUACCUGCGGAAGGAUCAUUACAGAGUUAUCCAACUCCCAAACCCAUGUGAACUUAUCUCUUUGUUGCCUCGGCGCAAGCUACCCGGGACCCCGCGCCCCGGGCGGCCCGCCGGCGGACAAACCAAAACUCUUGUUAUCUUAGUUGAUUCUCUGAGCGUCUUAUUUAAUAAGUCAAAACUUUUAGCAACGGAUCU
rnacentral:misc_RNA from 1 species